UACGUAGGGUGCAAGCGUUAAUCGGAAUUACUGGGCGUAAAGCGCACGUAGGCGGACUCUUAAGUCAGGGGUGAAAUCCUGGAGCUCAACUCCAGAACUGCCUUUGAUACUGGGAGUCUUGAGUUCGGGAGAGGUGAGUGGAACUGCGAGUGUAGAGGUGAAAUUCGUAGAUAUUCGCAAGAACACCAGUGGCGAAGGCGGCUCACUGGCCCGAUACUGACGCUGAGGUGCGAAAGCGUGGGGAGCAAACAGG
rnacentral:rRNA from 1 species